rnacentral:rRNA from 1 species
AACGAACGCUGGCGGCAUGCCUAACACAUGCAAGUCGAACGAGACCUUCGGGUCUAGUGGCGCACGGGUGCGUAACGCGUGGGAACCUGCCCUUAGGUUCGGAAUAACUCCCCGAAAGGGGUGCUAAUACCGGAUAAUGUCUUCGGACCAAAGAUUUAUCGCCUUUGGAUGGGCCCGCGUUGGAUUAGCUAGUUGGUAGGGUAAAAGCCUACCAAGGCGACGAUCCAUAGCUGGUCUGAGAGGAUGAUCAGCCACACUGGGACUGAGACACGGCCCAGACUCCUACGGGAGGCAGCAGUGGGGAACAUUGGAAAAUGGGCGAAGGCCUGAUCCAGCAAUGCCGCGUGAGUGAUGAAGGCCUUAGGGUUGUAAAGCUCUUUUAACCGGGAUGAUAAUGACAGUACCGGGAGAAUAAGCUCCGGCUAACUCCGUG